AGAGUUUGAUCCUGGCUCAGAUUGAACGCUGGCGGCAGGCCUAACACAUGCAAGUCGAGCGGUAGAGAGAAGCUUGCUUCUCUUGAGAGCGGCGGACGGGUGAGUAAUGCCUAGGAAUCUGCCUGGUAGUGGGGGAUAACGUUCGGAAACGGACGCUAAUACCGCAUACGUCCUACGGGAGAAAGCAGGGGACCUUCGGGCCUUGCGCUAUCAGAUGAGCCUAGGUCGGAUUAGCUAGUUGGUGAGGUAAUGGCUCACCAAGGCGACGAUCCGUAACUGGUCUGAGAGGAUGAUCAGUCACACUGGAACUGAGACACGGUCCAGACUCCUACGGGAGGCAGCAGUGGGGAAUAUUGGACAAUGGGCGAAAGCCUGAUCCUGCCAUGCCGCGUGUGUGAAGAAGGUCUUCGGAUUGUAAAGCACUUUAAGUUGGGAGGAAGGGCAGUUACCUAAUACGUGAUUGUUUUGACGUUACCGACAGAAUAAGCACCGGCUAACUCUGUGC
rnacentral:rRNA from 1 species